GCUGAAGACUUUCAGAAUGAGCAGCCCACCACUCAAUAAAAUUCAACAGGAGCCUAGGAGGCAUCAAAAAGUGAUUGUGCUAUUGUCAGGAUGUUUUCCUGAAUUGAUUACAACCUGGUGGAGCUGCUGGGGUGACAUGAGAGCAGACAAGGAGCACUGUACUGAAGCUGAUGAUCUAUCACAGAAGUAUGGCCUUAGACCUUCUGUUUUCUAUGUAGGUUAACAGAAACCUCUUCUUGCAGAUGCUCACCUUGUGCCAUUUUGCAUGUGAGUUUUGAAGAUACCAGGGACUAGCUGCUUCUUUGAACUUCACUUGACAACUGGAAGGACUUGACAGUGAGAUUCCACCUUAUGGGCAAGAAGAUUGAAAUUGAUAAUUUUCAUCUUCAGAAAUCUACCCCAGUUUUCUGCUUCUGCCAAGACUGUACAAGGCCUAGAAUCUGUACCGGCAUUGUGGGUAACUAUUGUUUUCUCUGUGCAUUUAUCCCUUUGCUUUGUACAUAUAAAGUAGUCCACAUGCAGACAGAGAAAAGGCUAACUUUUAGCAAUGUAGCCUAAAAUAUAGCUGCUCCUGUUUUCUCUGAUCUGUGUGUAUGCUUAGAGUAGGACUGUUGGCCUCCAGAUACAAUGC